rnacentral:rRNA from 1 species
AGAAUCAACGCUGGCGGCGUGCCUAACACAUGCAAGUCGAACGCGAAAGUGGAGCAAUCCAUGAGUAGAGUGGCAAACGGGUGAGUAACGCGUGGGCGACCUGCCUUCGAGUGGGGGAUAACAUUCCGAAAGGGAUGCUAAUACCGCAUAACAUCCUUCGUUUAGAUACGAGGUGAUCAAAGCCGGGAGCAAUUCUGGCGCUUAAAAGAGGGGCCCGCGUCCGAUUAGCUAGUUGGUGGGUAACGGCCUACCAAGGCUUCGAUCGGU